rnacentral:rRNA from 1 species
UACGAAGGGGGCUAGCGUUGUUCGGAAUUACUGGGCGUAAAGCGCGCGCAGGCGGUCUUCCAAGUUCAGUGGUGAAAGCCCGGAGCUCAACUCCGGAACUGCCAUUGAAACUGUAAGACUUGAGGAUGAGAGAGGUGAGUGGAAUUCCCAGUGUAGAGGUGAAAUUCGUAGAUAUUGGGAAGAACACCGGUGGCGAAGGCGGCUCACUGGGGACGGUACUGACGCUGAGACGCGAAAGCGUGGGGAGCGAACAGG